CUUUCUCAGUCUCCUUCACAACUGGACCUGGUUCUAACCAAUGGGACAUCAAGGACAGUCAUUUGGGGAGUUUCUGGAUCCCUGAUUUUGUUGGGAAGAGGGUACCCAGCUUCUGUUCCAACUACACUCAGGGUGUCUCUGUGACUAAAUUCUGAACAUUUACAGGGAAGCUGGAGUUCUAGCAACCAUCUUAUGACAACAAAGCAGCCUUAAAGCCAUAUGCCAAGGAUGGAGGAAGAUAGAGUCCGGGUCCCUGAAGACAUCAUGGAGUUGACUCACAAACCCUGGAUUCCCUACCUCUGGACUUCUCAUUAUGGGAGAAAGUAAAACAAUUUGUUUAAACUA